CACUAGCAUGUGCGCAAGUCAUUGGGUAUUUAUAAUAAACCUAAAGGCGUAAUGAAAGUGAAUGUAUAUAUAUAUAAUUUUUAUAAAUUAUAUAUUUUAUAAAGGGAAGAUGGGUUACGUUAUUUAUGUUACCUCGCAUUCCCAGGGCGUUGCAUACUUAUUGCAAGUUGUGGCGCACCAAGAGCGUACACGCUGGGACCCGAAAGAUGGUGAACUAUGCCUGGUCAGGAUGAAGUCAGGGGAAACCCUGAUGGAGGUCCGUAGCGAUUCUGACGUGCAAAUCGAUCGUAUGAACUGGGUAUAGGGGCGAAAGACUAAUCGAACC
rnacentral:rRNA from 1 species